UUGAUGGCCUUUCAAGAGCAAGACGCACAAGAUUACCUUCUCGAGCAGCUGUCAAUUUAUACGCCGAUAGAGACGACGUUUUCCAUUUAUCAUGACAUAAAUAUUUAAAUCUUUUGAGCACUAGUUAAAGUAUUUAAGCAGGAUAAACAAAGAUAACAGAUCAGUUCGCAGCGAUAUCUUCAAGUUCAAGACGUGAUCUGGUUUUAUUACGAUAAACGCAAGACUUUUAAAAUUCGAAGAUGAAAAACUUUGAAGUCGUAGCAUUUUUAAUGCUAUCACUCCUAGUGCUAUGUUCCGGCAAACCUGGUUGCCCCCCCGGGAUGUGGAUCCGUUGUGACGAAAGCAAGACUAGCCGGGAGUAUCGUCCAAUGAAAAGACUGGGUCUUAGAAAUAUAAACGAAGGAAAACGUGUCAGUAGAGUGAAAGAUGAAGAUGUAAUCGAAAACUUUCAAGGUUAUUAUGCAAACUAUUAAUCAAUGAAAAUAGUGAAAAACACGCACGAAAAUAAAAAUACUGUAAUAUCAAAAUA